AGCAGCCGCGGUAAUUCCAGCUCCAAUAGCGUAUAUUAAAGUUGUUGCAGUUAAAAAGCUCGUAGUUGAAUUUCGGGAUCAAUAUGUUGGUCGUGCCUCGGUACGUACUAGCUUAUUGGUUUCUCCUUUCUGAAGAACCAUGAUGUCAUUUAUUUGGUGUCGUGGGGAAUCAGGACUGUUACUUUGAAAAAAUUAGAGUGUUUAAAGCAGGCUCACGCUUGAAUACAUUAGCAUGGAAUAAUGAAGUAGGACGUUUGAUUCUAUUUUGUUGGUUUCUAGGAUCGACGUAAUGAUUAAUAGGGAUAGUUGGGGGCAUUAGUAUUCAAUUGUCAGAGGUGAAAUUCUUGGAUUUAUUGAAGACUAACUACUGCGAAAGCAUUUGCCAAGGAUGUUUUCAUUAAUCAAGAACGAAAGUUAGGGGAUCGAAGACGAUCAGAUACCGUCGUAGUCUUAACCAUAAACUAUGCCGACUAGGGAUCGGAUGAUGUUAAUUUUUUAAUGACUCAUUC
rnacentral:misc_RNA from 1 species